CUGGAUGCUUUGUUUAAGCAAGGAAGUCUAUCGUCAUCUCCUGGAUCUAUUGCUCAUAUCUGGUACCAGGAGCCUUACUUGCUUGCGGUAAACCUCUGGCCUGGACCCUGAGAGGACCCCAAGGCUGGAACUCAGAGGUCCUUUUUAGCUGGUGUCACAGGAGUGGUUUCAAUCCCAUGCUCGGACUCUCCCACCCUGAGCAGAGCCGCUCCUUGGGUCAGGAAGAUCUGCAUGGACAUCGCAGUACAGCUUCAUUCCCAAUUGCAGUCACCCGCCCACCCACCCAGAAUCUCUCACAGCCCUCAAAGCCUCUGCCACCUAAGGAGACCAGCAGUGAAACCUAGCUUCACUGCCGCUGCAACUGAGAUGGCACAGGCUCAAUUGCAUGCCCUUACAAGUGCAAAACUGGCCCCGCCCCCGCCCCCGCCCCCGCCUCGCCCCAGCUCACAGCGUUUGGCCUCCCCCUCCCUGCUCCAGCUCUCUGCCCCUCCCUGGGCCGCUUAGCCCUGCUGGGCUGCAGGUCCCUCAGCCACUGCCUCCACCGCCCCUGCCCAGGGCCCGAAGAGCAGGCAGUGGCUCUGUACUGGAUACUGCCACUGGAGGCUGCAACGCCCGGAGCCGGCUACUGCCCUGCUGGUUUACAAAACCGUUUCUUUUAAUGAAAUCCCGCCCAUUUUAACCUUGUAUAGUAGCCACUUUGAGAAGUUUCAGAUUACAUCGCAAUGUAU
rnacentral:lncRNA from 1 species